AGAGUUUGAUCCUGGCUCAGGACUAACGCUGGCGGCGUGCCUAACACAUGCAAGUCGAACGAAGCAGCAAUGCUUAGUGGCAGACGGGUGAGUAACGCGUAGAUAAUGUGCCCUCUUGCGGGGGAUACCGUUUCGAAAGGAACGUUAAUACCGCAUAACACCCUUGGUGGGCAUCCAUCGAGGGUCAAACUUCCGGGGCGGGAGGAGCAAUCUGCGUUCUAUCAGGUAGUUGGUGGGGUAAUGGCUCACCAAGCCUACGACGGAUAACUGGUCUGAGAGGAUGAUCAGUCACACUGGAACUGAGACACGGUCCAGACUCCUACGGGAGGCAGCAGUGAGGAAUAUUGCGCAAUGGGCGAAAGCCUGACGCAGCGACGCCG
rnacentral:rRNA from 1 species